AGCGAACGCUGGCGGCAGGCCUAACACAUGCAAGUCGAACGAACUCUUCGGAGUUAGUGGCGGACGGGUGAGUAACACGUGGGAACGUGCCUUUAGGUUCGGAAUAACUCAGGGAAACUUGUGCUAAUACCGAAUGUGCUCUUCGGGGGAAAGAUUUAUCGCCUUUAGAGCGGCCCGCGUCUGAUUAGCUAGUUGGUGAGGUAAAGGCUCACCAAGGCGACGAUCAGUAGCUGGUCUGAGAGGAUGAUCAGCCACAUUGGGACUGAGACACGGCCCAAACUCCUACGGGGGGCAGCGGAGGAGAGUCUUGCGCAAGGGGCGAAAACCUGACGCAGCCGUGCCGCGUGAAUGAUGAAGGUCUUAGGAUUGUAAAAUUCUUUCACCGGGGACGAUAAUGACGGUACCCGGAGAAGAAGCCCCGGCUAACUUCGUG
rnacentral:rRNA from 1 species